AAGUCUUAAGUUAAAUCUAAACUAGUAGCCUUCAAAGUUGAAAUUAUUUUAAGUAGAUUUUGA
rnacentral:tRNA from 1 species